rnacentral:ncRNA from 1 species
CCUAUGGAGAGUUGUAACCACUCUAGUAGUUCCGACGAACGAGAACUCGAUGAAAUAGGAA